UAUGAUGCAAAGUCCUCUUUCAUUUCUGAGCACAUCUGUCAUUUUUACAGCCUGUGGCAGGAUUUGGCAGACACAAGAGCCAAGAUUUUCUUGAAGAUUCCACCAAAGGAUCAAGUACCUAGACGAAUAGUUCUCUCAGCUUUGGUGUCUCCCCCUAAAAGAAACCUGAAGCUUCUCUGCCGGCCAUGCUGUCUACAUCUUGCUCAGGACUUGUGAUCUUAUUGAUAUUGAGAGGGACCAACGGAGACUCAGUGAACCAGACAGAAGUCCCAGUGGUUCUUCCAGAGGAGGCACCUAUGACUCUGAACUGCGCUUAUGAGACCCUUGAUUCAGCUCCCUAUCUUUUCUGGUACGUCCAGUAUCCCAACAGAGCUCCUCAACUCCUCCUGAAGGGGUCAACUGCAAACCCGAGGGCAGAGGAGCAAGGUUUCCAGGCCACUCUGGUUAAGAGUGACAAGACCUUCCACCUGCAGAAACGCUCAGUGCAAACAUCAGACUCGGCUGUGUACUACUGCGCCCUGAGUGACACAGUGAGAGGGGCUGCAGGGGGAGCUGAGCACAAACCCAGAGGGCACAGGUGGGGACUGGCUGUGGGCUGCCCUGGGAAGGGUGGGUUCUUCUCUGUCUCUGCUCUUGCAUGCUGGAGGCAUCCUCAGGGUACUUCCAGCUCUGAUGCUCAGAGCCAGGAUCCUUGGAAUUCUUGGAUUGCUGGUCAGAGAGGAAUCUAGGCCAGGGCAGUUUAAGAGGAACCUAAGAGCUCGUUUCAGAAAUGCCUUUCUUCUCAGCCCAGCCUCUUUCCUCCAGAUGGCACAGAAUUUCUUGGAAGUGCCCCUAGCUCCAGCGUCUUCCUGUCAUCACGGCAGCUCUUACAGAACACUCAAUAAUCAUCCCACUUCUGGACUUGAGAUCCGUGCUUUGAGAAACUCUGGAUUCUGGACAUGGCCAGGACUGCGUAACCUAAUGUCUUGUUUCUAUCAUGGCAUUUAUGCCUGUGGUCCUUCUGAAGUGAGUUCUGUGAAAAAUGUCCUUGGUAAUUUGAUAGGGAUUGCAUUGAAUCUGUAGAUUGCCUUAGGUAGUAUAGUCAUUUUGAUAAUAUUAACUCUUCCAAUCCAUGAGCAUGGUAUAUCUUUCCAUCUAUUAAGAAAACAUUUGUACAUUUUAUGUCAGAAAAUUUUUUGCCUAUGUUUUCUUCUAGGAGUUUUGUGGUGCCAUGACCUGUUAUUUACAGAACUUCUUAAACUUAUGAUGCAACUGGAUCCCAAUAAAGCAUACUAAAUUGAAAAUA